rnacentral:rRNA from 1 species
UACGAAGGGGGCUAGCGUUGCUCGGAAUUACUGGGCGUAAAGCGCACGUAGGCGGCUUUCUAAGUCGGGGGUGAAAUCCUGGAGCUCAACUCCAGAACUGCCUUCGAUACUGGAAAGCUCGAGUCCGGGAGAGGUGAGUGGAACUGCGAGUGUAGAGGGUGAAAUUCGUAGAUAUUCGCAAGAACACCAGUGGCGAAAGGCGGCUCACUGGCCCGGUACUGACGCUGAGGUGCGAAAGCGUGGGGAGCAAA